CAUGUAGUCCCUCCGUCCCAAAAUUCUUGUCUUUGAUUUGUCUAGAUACGGGUGUAUCUAACACUAAAACAUAACUAGAUACAUCUGUAUUUGGAAAAAUCUAAGACAAGAAUUUUGGGACAGGGGGAGUACUAU
rfam:Triticum aestivum genome assembly, contig: Triticum_aestivum_CS42_TGACv1_scaffold_306468_4AS